rnacentral:tRNA from 1 species
AAAAAGAUAAGCUAAAUAAAGCUUUUAGGUUCAUACCCUAAAUAUAGGAUUAAAACCUUCUUUUUA